GAUGAACGCUGGCGGCGUGCCUAAUACAUGCAAGUCGAGCGAACAGGCGAGGAGCUUGCUCUGCUGACGUUAGCGGCGGACGGGUGAGUAACACGUGGAUAACCUGCCUAUCAGACUGGGAUAACUUCGGGAAACCGGUGCUAAAACCGGAUAAGAUUUUGAACCGCAUGGUUCAAUAGGGAAAGACGGCUUUGGCGUCUGCUGUAGAUGGAUCCGCGCCGCAUUAGCUAGUUGGUAAGGUAACGGCUUACCAAGGCAACGAUGCGUAGCCGACCUGAGAGGGUGAUCGGCCACACUGGAACUGAGACACGGUCCAGACUCCUACGGGAGGCAGCAGUAGGGAAUCUUCCGCAAUGGGCGCAAGCCUGACGGAGCAACGCCGCGUGAGUGAUGAAGGUCUUCGGAUCGUAAAACUCUGUUAUUAGGGAAGAACAAGUGUGUAAGUAACUGUGCACGUCUUGACGGUACCUAAUCAGAAAGCCACGGCUAACUACGUG
rnacentral:rRNA from 1 species